GACCACGUGGCCUAAUGGAUAAGGCGUCUGACUUCGGCUCAGAAGAUUGAGGGUUCGAAUCCCUUCGUGGUUA